GGCCCGCACAAGCGGUGGAGUAUGUGGCUUAAUUCGAUGCAACGCGAAGAACCUUACCUAGGCUUGACAUGCUUGUCGUACUCUCCCGAAAAGGAGAGGUCACUUCGGGUGGACAAUGCACAGGUGCUGCAUGGCCGUCGUCAGCUCGUGUCGUGAGAUGUUUGUUAAGUCCAGCAACGAGCGCAACCCCCUGUGAACUGUUGCCAGCGCGUAAAGGCGGGACUCUGUUCAGACUGCCCAGAUCAACUGGGAGGAAGGUGGGACGACGUCAGGUCAGUAUGGCCCUUACGCCUAGGGCUGCACACGUACUACAAUGCCCAGCACAAGUGAGAACCGAGACCGCAAGGUGGAGGAAAUCUGCAAACUGGGCCCCAGUUCGGA
rnacentral:rRNA from 1 species